CUCUAGAGAUUCCUACGGGAGGCAGCAGUAGGGAAUCUUGCGCAAUGGGCGAAAGCCUGACGCAGCCAUGCCGCGUGAAUGAUGAAGGUCUUAGGAUUGUAAAAUUCUUUCACCGGGGAAUAUAAUGACGGUACCCGGAGAAGAAGCCCCGGCUAACUUCGUGCCAGCAGCCGCGGUAAUACGAAGGGGGCUAGCGUUGCUCGGAAUUACUGGGCGUAAAGGGCGCGUAGGCGGACAGUUAAGUCAGAGGUGAAAGCCCAGGGCUCAACCUUGGAAUUGCCUUUGAUACUGGCUGUCUUGAGUUCGGGAGAGGUGAGUGGAAUGCCGAGUGUAGAGGUGAAAUUCGUAGAUAUUCGGCGGAACACCAGUGGCGAAGGCGACUCACUGGCCCGAUACUGACGCUGAGGCGCGAAAGCGUGGGGAGCAAACAGGAUUAGAUACCCUGGUAGUCCACGCUGUAAACAAUGAGUGCUAGUUGUCAGCAUGCAUGCAUGUCGGUGACGCAGCUAACGCAUUAAGCACUCCGCCUGGGGAGUACGGUCGCAAGAUUAAAACUCAAAGGA
rnacentral:rRNA from 1 species